UGCUGGAUAGCUCAGUCAGUAGAGCACGAGACUCUUAAUUUCGUGGUUGUCGGUUUGAGCUCCAGGUUGGGUAA